CAGGAAGAUGUGAAGUUGAUGCAUGACAUGGGCCUGGAUGCCUACAGAUUCUCUAUCUCCUGGAGCAGAGUCAUUCCUAAUGGUAGAGGGCCAGUUAAUCCAGAAGGGGUGCAGUAUUAUAAUAACUUGAUCAAUGAACUCAAGAAAUAUGGAAUUGAACCUAAUGUCACUCUUCUUCACUUUCACCUCCCCCAAUCUUUGGAAGAUG